UACGUAGGGUGCAAGCGUUAAUCGGAAUUACUGGGCGUAAAGCGUGCGUAGGUGGUCUGUUAAGUCUGAUGUGAAAGCCCUGGGCUCAACCUGGGAAUUGCACUGGAUACUGGCAGGCUAGAGUGCGGUAGAGGAUGGCGGAAUUCCCGGUGUAGCAGUGAAAUGCGUAGAGAUCGGGAGGAACAUCCGUGGCGAAGGCGGCCAUCUGGACCAGCACUGACACUGAGGCACGAAAGCGUGGGGAGCAAACAGG
rnacentral:rRNA from 1 species